GAACUCAAAGGAGACUGCCAGUGAUAAACUGGAGGAAGGUGGGGAUGACGUCAAGUCAUCAUGGCCCUUACGACCAGGGCUACACACGUGCUACAAUGGCGCAUACAAAGAGAAGCGACCUCGCGAGAGCAAGCGGACCUCAUAAAGUGCGUCGUAGUCCGGAUUGGAGUCUGCAACUCGACUCCAUGAAGUCGGAAUCGCUAGUAAUCGUGGAUCAGAAUGCCACGGUGAAUACGUUCCCGGGCCUUGUACACACCGCCCGUCACACCAUGGGAGUGGGUUGCAAAAGAAGUAGGUAGCUUAACCUUCGGGAGGGCGCUUACCACUUUGUGAUUCAUGACUGGGGUGAAGUCGUAACAAGGUAACCGUAGGGGAACCUGCGGUUGGAUCAC
rnacentral:rRNA from 2 species